UUGAAGAGGACUUGGAACUUCGAU
rnacentral:miRNA from 1 species